rnacentral:rRNA from 1 species
UACGUAGGUGGCGAACGUUAUCCGGAAUUACUGGGCGUAAAGGGUCUGUAGGCGGUCUUACAGGUCUGGCGUGACAAUUCUCGGCUUAACUGAGAGAGUGCGUUGGAAACCGGAAGACUAGAAUCACGUCGAGGUCGGUGGAAUUCCCGGUGUAGCGGUGAAAUGCGUAGAUAUCGUUUGGAACGCCAAUGGUGAAAACAGGUAACUGGGAGUGUGCCGACGCUGAGACACGAAAGCCAGGGGAGCGAACGGG